GCUCAGCGGCCUCUCUUCCUCCUGGUAGUGUGUCCAGCCCCUGCCUGCUCCUCUGUCCAGGGCGCCAGCAGGAGCUGCCCUCCCUCCCCUACCAGUGGCCGCCUCCGCCCCUCUCCCUUCCACCCCGGUCCCUGCCCUGGACUCUGCAAACAUGAGGGGCCUGGCCUGCCUCCUUGUGGCCCUGGUGGGGAUCCAGGCUCUCGAGCGCCUGCGCCUGGCCGACGGCCCCCACGGCUGCGCCGGCCGCCUGGAGGUGUGGCACGGUGGACGCUGGGGCACGGUGUGUGACGACGGCU